rnacentral:rRNA from 1 species
UACGGGGGGGGUAAGCGUUGUUCGGAAUUACUGGGCGUAAAGGGCUCGUAGGCGGCCAACUAAGUCAGACGUGAAAUCCCUCAGCUUAACUGGGGAACUGCGUCUGAUACUGGAUGGCUUGGAUUCGGGAGAGGAAUGCGGAAUUCCAGGUGUAGCGGUGAAAUGCGUAGAUAUCUGGAGGAACACCGGUGGCGAAGGCGGCAUUCUGGACCGACAUUGACGCUGAGGAGCGAAAGCUAGGGGAGCAAACAGG